UACGUAGGGGGGCGAGCGUUAUCCGGAAUUACUGGGCGUAAAGCGCACGCAGGCGGUUCGCCAAGUUUGGAGUGACAGUUGUCGGCUCAACCGACAAAGGACUUCAAAAACUGGUGAACUUGAGGACGAGAGAGGAACAUGGAACUCCAGGUGUAGUAGUGAAAUGCGUAGAUAUCUGGAAGAACACCAAUGGCGAAGGCAAUGUUCUGGCUCGUUUCUGACGCUCAGGUGCGAAAGCCAGGGGAGCGAACGGG
rnacentral:rRNA from 1 species